AUUUAACGCUGGCGGCAUGCUUUACACAUGCAAGUCGAACGGUAACAGGGUGCUUGCACCGCUGACGAGUGGCGAACGGGUGAGUAAUGCGUCGGAACGUGCCGAGUAGUGGGGGAUAACGCAGCGAAAGUUGUGCUAAUACCGCAUACGUACUGAGGUAGAAAGUGGGGGACCUUCGGGCCUCACGCUAUUCGAGCGGCCGACGUCUGAUUAGCUAGUAGGUGAGGUAAAGGCUCACCUAGGCGACGGUCAGUAGCGGGUCUGAGAGGAUGAUCCGCCACCCUGGGACUGAGACACGGCCCAGACUCCUACGGGAGGCAGCAGUGGGGAAUUUUGGACAAUGGGCGAAAGCCUGAUCCAGCCAUGCCGCGUGUCUGAAGAAGGCCUUCGGGUUGUAAAGGACUUUUGUCAGGGAGGAAAUCCCUAGUGCUAAUAACACUGGGGGAUGACAGUACCUGAAGAAUAAGCACCGGCUAACUACGUGCCAGCCGCCGCGGUAA
rnacentral:rRNA from 1 species